GUAUCCAUUCAUCACUUUUUUCGUUCAACUGUGGAAUGUUUGAAUUUGAACACUAUGUACUUUCUUUUCAGACGCACAACAACAACCAUGUGUGAAUGAUGAGAUCUCGUCCAUCACAUCAGUUGAACAAAGUUGGAAAUUCGCGAAACAGCGCAUGUGAGGCCCAGUCAGAUGAGCCAGUAAGAAAAAAAGAUAUAGUGUUCCACUGCAUUGUUCCCUAGCUGUAGAGUUGUUGGAGAAAACCCUGUAUCGGACUGUGCACAACGUCAUCCACUUCCUGUGGCUUAGUAAGUUGUUCAGGCAGUGGCACCUGCUUAUCUAUGCAGAAGUUGUGCAGGCCCAUUUAUGCAGCCACUGCUUGACAGCACUCAUCGAGUCUCGUGAAUAAACAACCUCCAGUUUUAUGUAGACACCUGUCGAUAGAGAAUAACAAUUAAUAUUAACUAGUGAUUUAAUUACAAUAUCCAAUUUAUUAUCAAUACUUAUGAUUAUUAUGCAUUUUAUUUAAUUGAUGAACAUCUUCAGAUAUUAAUUAAAUUUAAGACUAAAAUGGGUAAAGAAAUAAAUUUAUAAAACAAAAUUUGCAAUAAUCUACAGCAUCCAUUUUUAUCAACACAUGCACGUGCAUAUGAAAGCAACUUUAAAAUCUGUAUCUGUAUGUUUUUUAACUACAUGUGUCUCCUUCACUAGCCAUAGUCCCUCUAAUGGUAUAUCCAUAGAAGCACAUUAUUUAUUGUCAUACCUUCAAACCACGGACAAAGACAGAGGCGUCAUGUGUGUUGACCCAAGCCAUUUUGACACAAUCUCAAUGAACCUGCAAAUAAACUAUACUUUACUAUGUGAAA